AGGUGUCACUGAACCUGUUCAGGAUGUCACUGGCCCUGUGCAGAUGUCACUGGCCCUAUGCAGGAUGUCACUGAAUGUGUGCAGGUGUCAUUGAACCUGUGCAGGUGUCACUGAACAUGUACAGAAUGUCACUGACCCUGUGCAGGUGUCACUGACCCUGUGCAGGUGUCACUGAAAACGUGUGCAGGUGUCACUGAAUGUGUGCAGGUGUCACUGAAUGUGUGCAAGUGUCAUUGAACCUGUGCAGGUGUCACUGAACCUGUUCACAAUGUCACUGACCCUGUGCAGGUGUCAUUUCACCCUCUCUGCCAGGGUAGCAGCUCCAUUCUCUGCUGGUGCAGGCUGGAACAGUCUGAGUGGAUUUUGGGAAGGAAUCCUCUGUCAGGGCAGCGUUCAGUUCCCCUGCAGGGCUGUGGUGUGGGGACGGGCCAACCCUUCAGAGAGGCACACAGUGACACUGCCAGUGCCUGGGCUGCCACUGUCACUGCCGCUGCCACCACAGGCUGGGCUGGCACUGUCACUGUCACCUCAGGCUGGGUGCCUGGGCUGGCACUGUCACUAACAGGCAGGGCAUCGUUUCUGUGAUUUCUCGCUGCUGGUGCAGAGCAGGGGCUCGCAGAGGGCUGGCACAAUCAGGGUGCCAUUCCCAGGUCACUGGGGCUUUGGGGAGGAGGAGGAGGAGGAGGAGGAGGUUCCCCUUGCUCAGCCCUGCCCAGCCCUCGGGGAAGGACAAGCUCCAGUCUCACCCUGAGCCCAGGGGAACCUUUCAGGUUACAUUUUGUGGCGGGUGA